rnacentral:rRNA from 1 species
GACGAACGCUGGCGGCGUGCUUAACACAUGCAAGUCGAGCGGAGAGGCCCUUCGGGGUACUCGAGCGGCGAACGGGUGAGUAACACGUGAGUAAUCUGCCCUGCACUCUGGGAUAGCCUUGGGAAACUGAGAUUAAUACCGGAUAUGUUCACUUCCCGCAUGGGAUGGUGGUGGAAAGUUUUUCGGUGCAGGAUGUGCUCGCGGCCUAUCAGCUUGUUGGUGGGGUAAUGGCCUACCAAGGCUUCGACGGGUAGCCGGCCUGAGAGGGUGACCGGCCACACUGGGACUGAGACACGGCCCAGACUCCUACGGGAGGCAGCAGUGGGGAAUAUUGGACAAUGGGCGGAAGCCUGAUCCAGCAACGCCGCGUGAGGGAUGACGGCCUUCGGGUUGUAAACCUCUUUCAGCACAGACGAAGCGCAAGUGACGGUAUGUGCAGAAGAAGGACCGGCCAACUACGUGCCAGCAGCCGCGGUAA